ACAACAGGGAUUGCCCCAGUAACGGCGAGUGAAGCGGCAAAAGCUCAAAUUUGAAAUCUGGCCCUUUCAGGGUCCGAGUUGUAAUUUGUAGAGGGUGCUUUGGCGUUGGCUGUGGUCUAAGUUCCUUGGAACAGGACGUCGCAGAGGGUGAGAAUCCCGUAUGUGGCCGCCAGUCUUCGCCGUGUAAAGCCCCUUCGACGAGUCGAGUUGUUUGGGAAUGCAGCUCUAAAUGGGAGGUAAAUUUCUUCUAAAGCUAAAUAUUGGCCAGAGACCGAUAGCGCACAAGUAGAGUGAUCGAAAGAUGAAAAGCACUUUGGAAAGAGAGUCAAAAAGCACGUGAAAUUGUUGAAAGGGAAGCGCUUGCAGCCAGACUUGCCUGUAGUUGCUCAUCCGGGCUUUUGCCCGGUGCACUCUUCUAUGGGCAGGCCAGCAUCAGUCCUGGCGGUCGGAUAAAUGCCCGCUGAAUGUACCUCUCUUCGGGGAGGACUUAUAGCGGUGGGCGGCAUACGACCAGCCGGGAUUGAGGUCCGCGCAUCUGCUAGGAUGCUGGCGUAAUGGCUGUAAGCGGCCCGUCUUGAAACACGGACCAAGGAGUCUAACAUCUAUGCGAGUGUUUGGGUGUCAAGCCCGAGCGCGUAAUGAAAGUGAACGGAGGUGGGAACCCCUUUCGGGGCGCACCAUCGACCGAUCCUGAUGUCUUCGGAUGGAUUUGAGUAAGAGCAUAGCUGUUGGGACCCGAAAGAUGGUGAACUAUGCCUGAAUAGGGUGAAGCCAGAGGAAACUCUGGUGGAGGCUCGCAGCGGUUCUGACGUGCAAAUCGAUCGUCAAAUUUGGGCAUAGGGGCGAAAGACUAAUCGAACUAUCUAGUAGCUGGUUCCUGCCGAAGUUUCUCUCACGAUAGCAGUAACGUUUU
rnacentral:rRNA from 1 species